rnacentral:lncRNA from 1 species
CCUAUAUUGUCGUCAUCAUCCCCAUUGAGGUGUUUCCUCUUUAUGACUUUCGUUUUCUCCUCACCAUUUAUGGUCCCUUCUCUACCAAUGAUGUAAGUAAAGUUAGGAACUUUUCGGUGCCACACACUCAUGCCCACACAACAAUGCUCUAGGUCACCUCUCUAAGAGGAAUUUGUUUUAGUUAAGUGUUCCUCCAACAUGAGAGCACCUAGGAAG